AGGCCUACGGGACGCAGCAGUGGGGAGUAUUGCACAAUGGGGGAAACCCUGAUGCAGCGACGCCGCGUGAGCGAUGAAGUAUUUCGGUAUGUAAAGCUCUAUCAGCAGGGAAGAAAAUGACGGUACCUGACUAAGAAGCCCUGGCUAACUACGUGCCAGCAGCCGCGGUAAUACGUAGGGGGCAAGCGUUAUCCGGAUUUACUGGGUGUAAAGGGGGCGCAGACGGCGAUGCAAGCCAGGAGUGAAAGCCCGGGGCCAAACCCCGGGACUGCUC
rnacentral:rRNA from 1 species